ensembl:lncRNA
GGAGGGGAAGGUGAUAAAUAUUUGCUGGAUAAUAAGCCAGUCUCUCAUGGCUGGAAGACCCCCAAGUUAAAUUCACAAGUAGAGAGAGGCUUAUUUUGGCCACUGCUGGCUCUAGGUCCCUUUGGCUCAGGGUUCAAGGGCAGAGUAAAAAGGCAGCAGGGGCUGGGACAGGGGCUGCAGAGGAGGUCUGAAUAUGCGGUGUUGUCUUCACAGCACCGGGCUGGGCAAGCCACUGACCUCUUGGUGCCUCUGUUCUCCACCUGCAUGCUCUCCCAGGCCCCUUCCAGUGGCCCCGGCAGGCCUGGGCCCUUCUCACUGUCCUGUCCCCACCCAUGCCUCCUCCUUGCGGCUGGCAUCCUUGGAGCACAGAACGAAAAUACGGCCUCACACCACACCCGACUGGCUGGCAUUUCAGCUCACAGACACUUCAUCCCGCGAAGCCGAUCUAAUUUCCACCCUGUGAAAAAAAACAGUUGUCUCGCACUCAGGCAGCCCGCACCAUGGGACAACCAGCUGCUUCCAUGGUGGGGUAAAGGUGGAUAGAAAUUCGGAUCAGGAUCAGCGGCAGGCACACAGAUGCCGACUGGGGUGGAAUAAUCCUUCUUCGUGUUGUGGGAGGAGUCUGGUAGGUGAGAGCUAUGGGCAGGCAGGUGGAAAGGCUGUGACUGCACAGGCAGGGCCAGGCUGCUCUUUAAGGCCAGAAGUAACAUCCUUUCUCUGAGCCUGUUUCCUCAUCUGCGGGUUCUGGAAGGCCCUUCCUAGCUGUUAAGUCCUACAGCUCUCAGUGGCUCAACCUUUGUUCAAAGAUGGAUUUUUGUAACAUCAAUGUAGAGAUCAAAUUCCCAAGCCGUAUCCUUUCCUCCCUUUCUCUGACCCUAGACAUAACAGGACCGGAGCCGUUGUUCCUCUCCCCUCUGCUCCCAGGCAGGUCCUUUCUGCAGCCACCUGGUUGCUGGGGCUGGCGGUGCUGUUCUGGAGUCCGACACAGGAAAGAUUUCCAAGAUCCUGUGGGGUAUCCAAGAUUGGCUAGAAUGAGAAAAUUCCAAGGAGACCAAAGAGGUGCGAAGCUACCUUCAUUUGCCAAAUAGCAGGGAGGGUGGAAGACUGAAUUAUCACGGCAGAAUCAGCCCUGACUGGCUGACUAGGCAGAAAGUUCAGAGAUCCAGAAAAGAAAUGUGACGUGGUCUAAGGGCCAGACGGGGCUCAUCAAAGUCAGCUUUGCCCCAGGGAGACGCCUCUUUUCCUAGGGUGACCCGAUUAGCAGAUCAGAGAAGACAGAGUUGGAUCGUGGUGGGUGUUUGAACAGCCCCUACUCAAGGAGUCUGUGUAGAGGGGAAUGAACUGGGAGAGUGGCUUACAGUUCAAACAUUGCCCAAGCUCCAACCUGUUCAAAAAUUUUGCCAGAGACUUGGAUGAAGACACAAUAGGUGUGUGCAUCUGAGCCUCGAAAGCACAGGUUAUUCUGAUACAGUUGAUUUAUGAUCUAAAGCUUUCUUCCUAAGCAGAAUGCUGGGCCAAAAUCAACAAGAAGAAGUUUAACAGUAAUCGAUGUAAAGUCAGGUACUUUCAGAUCAAAAAAAAAAAAAAAUCAAUGACCUAAGGAGCAAGCCAAGGGUGGGUAGAUAGGGCCGGCUUGGCAGAAUUCCACCUGAAAUGAUCUGGUCGUUUUUCUUUGACCCCACAAGGUCAGUGUAAGCAUAAACAGUGUGAUGCGGCUACUAACACUGUGGCCCCCGAGGUGGGUUCCUAACUGAAUGGGGCUUUGGUGGUGGAAUGGACUGUCUUCCAGUCCCCACUCUCUGCUCUGCUCAGCUUUAGUAGGUGCUGUGGGUUCAAAUCUGCACCCCACACUUUAUAGGCACAGAGUGUCCAGAGGAGGGACCCAGACAGGGGCAGUGGGGCCUAAUGUCCUCAGGUGAGGAAUGAUGAAUGGAAUCUCGGGGAAGGCUUAGCGGGGCAAUCUGGCUGCCUUGGAAAGACCUAGGAAGGCGAGAGGAGCCGAGACCAGUGGGUGGAAGAGACAGGGCAACAGCUUUGGGGGUACUCAGAAAGGGUGUUCUCCUGGGAGGGCUUGUCUGUGGGUGACAG